rnacentral:lncRNA from 1 species
AUGAUGAGGAGCUUGCUCACAAUGAUGAGGGCUGCUCACAAAGAUGUGGUGAUGGAGAAUCUGAAACAGCUGACCCAAUCUGACCCAUUUCAGAAGAAAAAAUGCCUGCAGCGGCACCCCACUAAGGACGCAGAGGUUAGUCCCGCACCCUGCCCUGCCUGCUGUGUGUGCUGCUGGACCAACUGUCUGUGGAGCUUUCAGACCCUGUUCUUGAAGAAACAGCAGAUUGUGGUCAACAAGAGUACUGACAAAAAGAAAACAAGAAGUAGGGAACUAGAGAUGACCAUGUCCAUAUUGGUAAAUAAUGAACUGAAUGCUCCCCUGGAUGAGACUACCCGCACUAUUCAUUUAUAUGAGAGUUAGCAAUGGCCAAGGAUUGCUCCUGGUAGUUAGUUUGGAUGCAGCCACACUAGUCUUGAGAUAGAGAGUUUAUCUUCAUGGUGGAUACAAGUUAUUCUUUGACAAUUUGUUCAUGUGGAGAUGAUCCUGAAAAUUUCGAAUUAAGGCAGAGAUACUUCUACAAUGGAAAAUCAUGUGUCACCAUAUGGGUAAAAGGGAAGGCUGAUUUCUUCCAUACUAGUUAGCCCAAAUAAGGACUGCUAGAUGCAGUUGUUUAGGAGAAUCAUGGUGUUGCAACUUCUUAUCACUUCUAUCUGUGUCUGCUUUGAAUGCAGACAGUGGGAGAUGGCUGAAUCUGAAGAAACCCCCAUUAGCCGCACCCUUGCUGCAACGCACAUUCCUUGCUCAUUGACUCAGGGCUAUCAACUUUCCUUUACUCCCUCUUUGCCAUGUGUUUUGCAGCACUCUAAACACCUGAGGAGACAGUGUUUUGUGCAGACACUUGCUGUAUUUGCACACAGUAUUGCAUGUCUUCUCUCUGUCACUGUGGACAUACGUGGCUCAUGUAACAGGUCAUAAAUUAGGUGAGCAAAGCUAUAAAGUUCUCUUGCUUGUGCAGAAUGGAUUAUGAGAGACCAGUCCGGGCUGGCCCCUAAACCGCUGACAGUUUUUUUCUCCUUUCUCUCUUUUUCCGGGCCUGUGGGCCUGUAGGUCUGCUGUCCCCUUGUCACGGAUACAGAUCCUUAGAUAACGCCGUGCCACAGUCACAUGUCAAAAUACUGACAAUGCAAUUUAUUAUAAUUAAGACUUAAUUCCAGCACCCUUGUGUAUCUUGGUCUUGUCCCUUCUAUGUGCUGCUGUGCAAACAAGCAAUCAGUGUUAAGAGAGGAAAGAGAAGCUAACUGUGUAAAGAUACACAUAUUUAAUCAGGGAAGUUCCCUAGAAGCAGCACAAUCUGACAAGGUUUAAAUAGUGUUUAGAAGAAACAGUUGUUGAGUGAUAACCCCAAUCCUGCCACUAACAUUCUCCCCAAGACAAAUUUCUUUGCAUCUAUAAAAUAGAAAUGAUAGUUACUAACCUGCUUUACAGGAGAUUUGCAAAGAUAAAUUAGUUAAUAUUUGUGCAAUGUUUUGAAAGUGCAAAGUGCCAUAAAAUGCAAAGAAUUAUUACCUCAGCCCUUGUUUUAAAACCUCAGCGAGCAGUCAUAGAAUACAAACUGCCAUGCAAACUACAAUGUCCACUAUCUCAAACACCACACACAUUAAAUCUGAGAAAGCCAGGUUGUAAAAUCCUGUUAAUUCAGUUCUACUUCAUCUCUGCUCUUCCAAUAAAAAGCUUGCCCUUUAAAACCA